UCCUACGGGGGGCAGCAGUGAGGAAUAUUGGUCAAUGGGCGCGAGCCUGAACCAGCCAAGUCGCGUGAGGGAAGACGGUCCUAUGGAUUGUAAACCUCUUUUGUCGGGGAGCAAAAGACGCCACGCGUGGCGUUCCGAGAGUACCCGAAGAAAAAGCAUCGGCUAACUCCGUGCCAGCAGCCGCGGUAAUACGGAGGAUGCGAGCGUUAUCCGGAUUUAUUGGGUUUAAAGGGUGCGUAGGCGGAUUGAUAAGUUAGAGGAGAAAUGUCCGAGCUCAACUCGGGAACUGCCUCUA
rnacentral:rRNA from 1 species